UACGGAGGAUCCAAGCGUUAUCCGGAUUUAUUGGGUUUAAAGGGUGCGUAGGCGGAUUGAUAAGUUAGAGGUGAAAUGUCCGAGCUCAACUCGGGAACUGCCUCUAAUACUGUUGAUCUAGAGAGUAGAUGCGGUAGGCGGAAUGUAUGGUGUAGCGGUGAAAUGCUUAGAGAUCAUACAGAACACCGAUUGCGAAGGCAGCUUACCAAUCUAUAUCUGACGUUGAGGCACGAAAGUGUGGGGAGCAAACAGG
rnacentral:rRNA from 1 species